AAGUGAGAAUGCCGGUAUGAGUAGCGAAAGACGGGUGAGAAUCCCGUCCACCGAAUGCCUAAGGUUUCCUGAGGAAGGCUCGUCCGCUCAGGGUUAGUCAGGACCUAAGCCGAGGCCGACAGGCGUAGGCGAUGGACAACAGGUUGAUAUUCCUGUACCACCUCUUUAUCGUUUGAGCAAUGGAGGGACGCAGAAGGAUAGAAGAAGCGUGCGAUUGGUUGUGCACGUCCAAGCAGUUAGGCUGAUAAGUAGGCAAAUCCGCUUAUCGUGAAGGCUGAGCUGUGAUGGGGAAGCUCCUUAUGGAGCGAAGUCUUUGAUUCCCCGCUGCCAAGAAAAGCUUCUAGCAAGAUAAAAGGUGCCUGUACCGCAAACCGACACAGGUAGGCGAGGAGAGAAUCCUAAGGUGUGCGAGAGAACUCUGGUUAAGGAACUCGGCAAAAUGACCCCGUAACUUCGGGAGAAGGGGUGCUUUCUUAACGGAAAGCCGCAGUGAAUAGGCCCAAGCGACUGUUUAGCAAAAACACAGCUCUCUGCGAAGCCGUAAGGCGAAGUAUAGGGGGUGACACCUGCCCGGUGCUGGAAGGUUAAGGAGAGGGGUUAGCGUAAGCGAAGCUCUGAACUGAAGCCCCAGUAAACGGCGGCCGUAACUAUAACGGUCCUAAGGUAGCGAAAUUCCUUGUCGGGUAAGUUCCGACCCGCACGAAAGGUGUAACGAUUUGGGCACUGUCUCAACCAGAGACUCGGUGAAAUUAUAGUACCUGUGAAGAUGCAGGUUACCCGCGACAGGACGGAAAGACCCCGUGGAGCUUUACUGUAGCCUGAUAUUGAAUUUUGGUACAGUUUGUACAGGAUAGGCGGGAGCCAUUGAAACCGGAGCGCUAGCUUCGGUGGAGGCGCUGGUGGGAUACCGCCCUGACUGUAUUGAAAUUCUAACCUACGGGUCUUAUCGACCCGGGAGACAGUGUCAGGUGGGCAGUUUGACUGGGGCGGUCGCCUCCUAAAGUGUAACGGAGGCGCCCAAAGGUUCCCUCAGAAUGGUUGGAAAUCAUUCGUAGAGUGCAAAGGCAUAAGGGAGCUUGACUGCGAGACCUACAAGUCGAGCAGGGACGAAAGUCGGGCUUAGUGAUCCGGUGGUUCCGCAUGGAAGGGCCAUCGCUCAACGGAUAAAAGCUACCCCGGGGAUAACAGGCUUAUCUCCCCCAAGAGUCCACAUCGACGGGGAGGUUUGGCACCUCGAUGUCGGCUCAUCGCAUCCUGGGGCUGUAGUCGGUCCCAAGGGUUGGGCUGUUCGCCCAUUAAAGCGGUACGCGAGCUGGGUUCAGAACGUCGUGAGACAGUUCGGUCCCUAUCCGUCGUGGGCGUAGGAAAUUUGAGAGGAGCUGUCCUUAGUACGAGAGGACCGGGAUGGACGCACCGCUGGUGUACCAGUUGUUCUGCCAAGGGCAUAGCUGGGUAGCUAUGUGCGGAAGGGAUAAGUGCUGAAAGCAUCUAAGCAUGAAGCCCCCCUCAAGAUGAGAUUUCCCAUAGCGUAAGCUAGUAAGAUCCCUGAAAGAUGAUCAGGUUGAUAGGUUCGAGGUGGAAGCAUGGUGACAUGUGGAGCUGACGAAUACUAAUAGAUCGAGGACUUAACCAU
rnacentral:rRNA from 1 species